rnacentral:ncRNA from 2 species
AGCGGUCGCUAGGGGAGCUCGCAAGGGCUGAGAAAUCCCGUCAAGGGAUGACCCUGGGAACCUGUAUGGGUAAUUCCAGCGUAGGGAAAGCGGCAGAAGAUCAGG